ACACACACACACACACACACACACGCACACACACAGGUCUUGUCGUCUUAUCACAGAAACAUUAUUCAACAACAUUAUCUUUGGCUAGGCGAGACGAUCGGAGAGAAUAGAAGACGAGGAUAAAGAGGAGAGGAAGAUGGGAGGAAACAGAGACAAAGAGACAAGGAGAGAGAAAAGGAGGAGAGAUAAAGAAAGAGCGACAGAUAGCGUCAGAUCAAGAGAAAGGGUGAUGAGAGAAACAGAGAUGGUGAUAGAUAGAAUGACGCUGGAAUAAUCAGCAUGAACGACCCUGCCAGACGUCAGGUCUGAGAGCAUCAGCGAG
ensembl:lncRNA